UGAAUAUUACAUUGGUGAUGUGUAUCACAAGUUCUCAGCCGUAUCAAAACCUUGAAGUACAGAAGAAAGAAUGCAUGGGUCAUGUCCAAAAUGCAUGGGUAAACGUCUUCGCCAAGUCGUCAAUGACAGUAAAAAAUCGUAAAAGUCAGUCAUAAAAGAAACAAAACCAACGGCUAAGGAGAUAAAUCCAACUAUAAAGAAGGAGAAUUAAAAUUCCAAGAUUUGGAGGAUUGCACUCAAAUGUACUCCAGGUAUUCGAAGAGUAGUUGAAAUAGCUACCAAUGUUGCGGUAUCUACUUUUAAUUUAAUCAAGCUGGAAUGGGAGAUUAAAUGUAAGUUAACAAAAUAAAUAAAAAAAUUCAUUUCUUAUUUCUUUCAGUUCUUGCUUUAGCAGCGCGCAACCUCGAGCGAAAGACACUUGAAACUUUAAACGCGUUUUUCUCGAAAAUACUUUUUCCGGCACGGGCAGCAUGAUCCAUUAAUAUUUCAAGGAGAUAUGAUGCUGACCAUGAACCAACAUUUUUUCUUAUGUAUUUUGGGUCACGUGAUUGUUAACAUCUUAAUUUUUGGAAAAAAAUUUGAAAUUGAAUUUUUUAUAAAGUUUAAAUACUAAUAAACAAUGUUUAAUAAUUUCUUUUAUUAA